rnacentral:tRNA from 1 species
ACCGGCGCCGGGCCGGUGGGACUGACCGCCGCGCUGGAGCUGCGGCGACAGGGCGUCUCCUGCCGGAUCGUCGACCGGCUGCCCGCCC